rnacentral:tRNA from 1 species
AAAUAUAAGGGUUAAAGCCCCUUCAGCUCCU